rnacentral:rRNA from 1 species
CUGGCGGCAGCUAACACAUGCAAGUCGACGCGGAAACGACACUAACAAUCCUUCGGGUGCGUUAAUGGGCGUCGAGCGGCGGACGGGUGAGUAAUGCCUAGGAAAUUGCCUUGAUGUGGGGGAUAACCAUUGGAAACGAUGGCUAAUACCGCAUAAUGCCUACGGGCCAAAGAGGGGGACCUUCGGGCCUCUCGCGUCAAGAUAUGCCUAGGUGGGAUUAGCUAGUUGGUGAGGUAAUGGCUCACCAAGGCGACGAUCCCUAGCUGGUCUGAGAGGAUGAUCAGCCACACUUGAACUGAGACACGGUCCAGACUCCUACGGGAGGCAGCAGUGGGGAAUAUUGCACAAUGGGCGAAAGCCUGAUGCAGCCAUGCCGCGUGUAUGAAGAAGGCCUUCGGGUUGUAAAGUACUUUCAGUUGUGAGGAAGGGGGUAGUGUUAAUAGCGCUAUCUCUUGACGUUAGCAACAGAAGAAGCACCGGCUAACUCCGUGCCAGCAGCCGCGGUAAUACGGAGGGUGCGAGCGUUAAUCGGAAUUACUGGGCGUAAAGCGCAUGCAGGUGGUUCAUUAAGUCAGAUGUGAAAGCCCGGGGCUCAACCUCGGAACUGCAUUUGAAACUGGUGAACUAGAGUACUGUAGAGGGGGGUAGAAUUUCAGGUGUAGCGGUGAAAUGCGUAGAGAUCUGAAGGAAUACCAGUGGCGAAGGCGGCCCCCUGGACAGAUACUGACACUCAGAUGCGAGAGCGUGGGGAGCAAACAGGAUUAGAUACCCUGGUAGUCCACGCCGUAAACGAUGUCUACUUGGAGGUUGUGGCCUUGAGCCGUGGCUUUCGGAGCUAACGCGUUAAGUAGACCGCCUGGGGAGUACGGUCGCAAGAUUAAAACUCAAAUGAAUUGACGGGGGCCCGCACAAGCGGUGGAGCAUGUGGUUUAAU